rnacentral:lncRNA from 1 species
UCAUCUUUGAUGUAGCCAAGUUCUAACAAACCUAAAUGUGCAGGAACGUAAGCUCCACAAGGACAGGGAUGUUUUACUGCUAGAUGCCCAGCAACCAGACUAUGUCUGGCACAUCUUCAGGCUGUUUGUGUUCCUUCAGGAAGCCUCAAUCAAUCAAUCACUCCCUCUUUUCGUAAGAGAAAGGGACUCCAGCCUUUUCUUAUUAACUCAUUCCUCAUUACGACGAUGGCGUUUCUCUUCACCAACAACUCAUUCCUCAUUACGACGAUGGCGUUUCUCUUCAUCGACAAAAUUGCUCAACCUGCAUCUCCAGCCUGUUUCCUUGACAUUGUUUUCUGUCUCCCAGUGCCAUUCUUAAAUAUGGAGAGAAU